GACGAACGCUGGCGGCGGGCUUAACACAUGCAAGUCGAACGGAAAGGCCCUGCUUUUGUGGGGUUCUCGAGUGGCGAACGGGUGUGUAACACAGGAGUAUCCUCGCCUGUGGUGUGUGAUAACUUCAAGAGACUGGUGCUAAUACAGGAUACGAGCUCCUGCUGCAUGGGGGUGGUUGGAAAUUUUAGGCUGUUGGGGAUCGACUGGCGGCUUAUCAGCUUGUUGGUGGGGUAGUGGCUUACGAAGGGAUUGGAGGGUAGUCGGCCUGGGAGGGUGGCCAGGCACAAUGGUCCUGAGAUACGGCGCAGUCUCCUAUGGGGGGCAGCAGGGGAGAAUCUGGCCCAGUCGGCGCACGUGUGUGGCGAAGACGCUGCGUGUGGGAAGACGGCCUACGGGUUGUGAACCGCUUUAGCCUAUGACGAAGCGGGAGUGACGGUAACGGGUAAAGAAGCACCGGCUAACUACGUG
rnacentral:rRNA from 1 species